AGGCGACGAUCGGACUGGUUUGAAGGAUACGGCCACCUGGACUGAGACAGGGCCAACUCUCGGGAGGCACAGUGGGAAUUUUGGACAAUGGGGAAACCCUGAUCAGCCAUCCGCGUUCAAUAAGGCUUCGGUGUAAAGCACUUUUGCAG
rnacentral:rRNA from 1 species